UACGUAGGGUGCAAGCGUUAAUCGGAAUUACUGGGCGUAAAGCGUGCGCAGGCGGUUUUGUAAGUCUGUCGUGAAAGCCCCGGGCUCAACCUGGGAAUUGCGAUGGAGACUGCAAGGCUUGAAUCUGGCAGAGGGGGGUAGAAUUCCACGUGUAGCAGUGAAAUGCGUAGAUAUCUGGAGGAACACCGGUGGCGAAGGCAGCCCCCUGGGGUCAAGAUUGACGCUCAUGCACGAAAGCGUGGGGAGCAA
rnacentral:rRNA from 1 species